rnacentral:rRNA from 1 species
GACGAGCGCUGGCGGCGUGCCUAAUACAUGCAAGUUGAGCGAUGAAGAUUGGUGCUUGCACCAAUUUGAAGAGCAGCGAACGGGUGAGUAACGCGUGGGGAAUCUGCCUUUGAGCGGGGGACAACAUUUGGAAACGAAUGCUAAUACCGCAUAACAACUUUAAACAUAAGUUUUAAGUUUGAAAGAUGCAAUUGCAUCACUCAAAGAUGAUCCCGCGUUGUAUUAGCUAGUUGGUGAGGUAAAGGCUCACCAAGGCGAUGAUACAUAGCCGACCUGAGAGGGUGAUCGGCCACAUUGGGACGGAGACACGGCCCAAACGCCUACGGGAGGCAGCAGUAGGGAAUCUUCGGCAAGGGACGAAAGUCUGACCGAGCAACGCCGCGUGAGGGAAGAAGGUUUUCGGAUCGUAAAACUCGGUUGGUAGAGAAGAACGUUGGUGAGAGUGGAAAGCUCAUCAAGUGACGGUAACUACCCAGAAAGGGACGGCUAACUACGUG